rnacentral:rRNA from 1 species
UACGUAGGGAGCAGGCGUUGUCCGGAAUCAUUGGGCGUAAAGCGCGCGUAGGUGGCCUCAUAAGUCCGCUGUGAAAGUCCAAGGCUCAACCUUGGAAAGCCGGUGGAUACUGUGAGGCUAGAGUACGGAAGAGGCGAGUGGAAUUCCUGGUGUAGCGGUGGAAUGCGCAGAUAUCAGGAGGAACACCAAUAGCGAAGGCAGCUCGCUGGGACGUUACUGACACUGAGGCGCGAAAGCGUGGGGAGCGAACAGG